rnacentral:rRNA from 1 species
UACAGAGGGUGCAAGCGUUAAUCGGAAUUACUGGGCGUAAAGCGUGCGUAGACGGUUAUUUAAGUCAGGUGUGAAAGCCCUGGGCUUAACCUAGGAAUUGCGCUUGAGACUGGAUAGCUUGGAGUGCGGCAGAGGGAGGUGGAAUUCCACGUGUAGCAGUGAAAUGCGUAGAGAUGUGGAGGAACACCGAUGGCGAAGGCAGGUCUCUGGGCAUUAACUGACGCUGAGGAGCGAAAGCAUGGGGAGCGAACAGG